AUUUCGUGAUGAGUAUUGAGUGAGUAAAUGAGUGAGUGAGUAAGUGGUAUUUGGAUCUUAUAUAUAUGUGGUUGACUUACAUGGAAUCUUCAAACAUAUAUAAUUGGGCGUCGGCGUAGCUCAGUGGUAGAGCGCCCGCUUAUUGUGCGGGAGGCCCGGGUUCGAUUCCCGGCGCCUUCGCGUUAUUUUUUUAAUUUUUUUUUUGACCAAUUUCGUUUUUUUCUAUUUUUUUAGGCUCAUUUCGAUUAUUUCUCGAGAAAAAUUGAUAUUUUUGGUUAAGCAAACCUUAAUAAAUGAUAUAAUUUUGUUGUAGAUGUUAAGCCCGUACGGGGGAAGUGGACUUAUUAUAGGAACUCGGCAAAUAUUAUAUUCGCCUGUUUAACAAAAACAUGUCCUUUUGUAUUAUUUAUAUAAGGUUUAACCUGCCCAAUGAAUUUUUAAUGGCCGCGGUAUUUUAACCGUGCUAAGGUAGCAUAAUCAUUUGUCUUUUAAUUGAGGGCUAGAAUGAAUGGUUGGACGAAGUAUAAUCUUUCUUUAAUUUAAAAUUGGAAUUUAAUUUUUGAGUGAAAAAGCUUAAAUUUUUUUGUUGGACGAGAAGACCCUAUAGAUCUUAAUAUUUAUUUUAUUUGUAGUGUUUAGGGAUUUAUAUUUAUAAUUAAAUGUAAUAUUUGAUUGGGGUGAUUGGAGAAUUAAAAUAACUUCUUUUAUAAUAAAUCAUUAAUUGAUGUUUAUAUGAUCCAUUUAUGAUGAUUAAAAGAUUAAGUUACCUUAGGGAUAACAGCGUAAUUUCUACGGAGAGUUCAUAUUGAUGUGGAAGUUUGCGACCUCGAUGUUGGAUUAAAAUAAGUUUUGAAUGCAGCAGUUCAAUUACUAGGUCUGUUCGACCUUUAAAUUUUUACAUGAUCUGAGUUCAGACCGGCGUGAGCCAGGUCAGUUUCUAUCUUCAAUUUAAUAAUAUAUAUUAGUACGAAAGGACCUUAUAUAUAAAAUAAUUUUUAGAUUUUGUUUAAUAUU
rnacentral:rRNA from 1 species